UGCGUAGGCGGACUAUUAAGUCAGUGGUGAAAUCCUGCAGCUUAACUGCAGAACUGCCAUUGAUACUGAUAGCCUUGAGUUUGGUUAAGGUAGGCGGAAUGUGUAAUGUAGCGGUGAAAUGCUUAGAUAUUACACAGAACACCAAUUGCGUAGGCAGCUUAACUGAGCCGACACUGACGCUGAGGCACGAAAGCGUGGGGAUCGAACAG
rnacentral:rRNA from 1 species